UACGUAGGGUGCGAGCGUUAAUCGGAAUUACUGGGCGUAAAGCGUGCGCAGGCGGUUAUGCAAGACAGAUGUGAAAUCCCCGGGCUUAACCUGGGAACUGCAUUUGUGACUGCAUAGCUAGAGUGUGUCAGAGGGGGGUAGAAUUCCACGUGUAGCAGUGAAAUGCGUAGAUAUGUGGAGGAAUACCGAUGGCGAAGGCAGCCCCCCUGGGAUAACACUGACGCUCAUGCACGAAAGCGUGGGGAGCAAACAGG
rnacentral:rRNA from 1 species